rnacentral:tRNA from 1 species
GUUGUAAUAGUUUAACAAAAAUUAAGGUUUUUCAAGCCUCAGUCCCAAGUAUAAUAAUUCCUGGUUACAAUA